GUCAACUCAGGCAAGCUUGAAGCUUAAAAACCCAGAACCGUGAUUUCCUCGACAGUUCUUUUGGAUGUUAACGCCUGGAAUCAGUGGAAAUAAUCGGCUUCAGGAACUUCACAAUAUCAGCAAUAUUUCUUAGUUCAAACAUCAACCUAAAUUACUGAACUUCCUGAUUUUGUACAUACCGCACCAUAUUUGCCUUCACACCACAAUUUAUUCAUGACAGAUUACAUUUGGCAACAAAAUGAAUUUUAAGAAGCUCCGUUUCCAUUUUUUGGGGGCCAAGCAUUCCGAUACAAAACUUCUUGAUUAAGCUUAAGCUACUUUUGCAGAAAACACCUUACACAUGUUCUAAGAUAUCUACAAGAGAAGUUGUUUGAAACAUUAGGUAAUCUUGAAUAGAGGGGGCCAGGUAGCAAAGGAGGUUUUGGAGAACUCGCUCAACAAACAUGGAGAAUGUCUGAUAGAUCCCCUAUCAAAAUUUAUCACAGAAGGAGCAAGAAAGGAAACCUACGGCUAGCAUCCAUGAGUCAGCAGGAUAAGGAUGCAACCUCAUCAACAUUAGAGAUAAGACAAACAAUUCAUCCUCAGCUGUAUAUCCAGCCUAGCAUGAUUCAAUCACCAGCUAAGGAGGCUGUGAUCAAGGAAAUUCAAUCACCAAACAAGAAGGCUAUGAUCAAGGAAAUGCAACUUUAUAACAAGGCAGCAGGCAGAGAGGAAAAGCAUCGAGAAAAGCAUAUCUUCUAGGGGGUCUCGGGGGCAUAGGCCUAGGGAAGAGAUAGGCUAAGUUUGGCCAUUAUCCUUUGGUAUCGCGUUAUCAAUUAUCUAUUGUAUUAGUAAGCAAUACUUAGAAUAAGAGUACAGACAGAGGGCUGUAAUCAUUCCUUAAUCAAUAAGGCCUGAUUGGGAGUAGCUGGAGUGUGAAACUAGCAACUGUAGAAGCCGAAAGCAGGACCUGUACACACCAAAAGUCAGGUACUCAUCAAUGUCUUGAUAUUUUUCUAAACCUGCCUGCCAAAAUACAAGGUUUCAGCUUAGAAUUGAACAUUGUGUAAAGAAAUACAGCCUAUCGUAUGAUCAGAGCCAAACAUCUUAAAGAUAAGAACAUAGCUGCCCAAUUAACAGAUCGGAACUACCUAUGAGAUCUUAAAGAAACAGGUUCAAUUAUGCCUAAUAAGUAAUAAAAA